ACAACAGAAGAUACCUAAUCUCGAGGAAGAAUCUAGAAGAAAAUGUUCCUCAAGUGCCAUUAACUGCUCUCCGUGUUCAGAUGGACAAAAUUCUUCAGUAGAAAUACCAGGGACGGUAACUACAACCUCAAGUGUUGAGCAUUCCCUGGACAAAGAUAUUAGAUCAAACUCUCCAGCCCAAAGUAAAGAGUGCAUGACUGAAGUCUCAAAUGAUGACAGCAGUUUAAAGGUGCAACAAACUAAUGCUCCC